rnacentral:rRNA from 1 species
AUUGAACGCUGGCGGCAGGCCUAACACAUGCAAGUCGAGCGGAUGAGUGGAGCUUGCUCCAUGAUUCAGCGGCGGACGGGUGAGUAAUGCCUAGGAAUCUGCCUGGUAGUGGGGGACAACGUUUCGAAAGGAACGCUAAUACCGCAUACGUCCUACGGGAGAAAGUGGGGGAUCUUCGGACCUCACGCUAUCAGAUGAGCCUAGGUCGGAUUAGCUAGUUGGUGAGGUAAAGGCUCACCAAGGCGACGAUCCGUAACUGGUCUGAGAGGAUGAUCAGUCACACUGGAACUGAGACACGGUCCAGACUCCUACGGGAGGCAGCAGUGGGGAAUAUUGGACAAUGGGCGAAAGCCUGAUCCAGCCAUGCCGCGUGUGUGAAGAAGGUCUUCGGAUUGUAAAGCACUUUAAGUUGGGUAGGAAGGGCAGUAAGUUAAUACCUUGCUGUUUUGACGUUACCAACAGAAUAAGCACCGGCUAACUU